UACGAAGGGGGCUAGCGUUGUUCGGAAUUACUGGGCGUAAAGCGCACGUAGGCGGGUUUGUAAGUAGAGGGUGAAAUCCCAGGGCUCAACCCUGGAACUGCCUUCUAAACUACAAGCCUGGAGGUCAGGAGAGGCGAGUGGAAUACCGAGUGUAGAGGUGAAAUUCGUAGAUAUUCGGUGGAACACCAGUGGCGAAGGCGACUCGCUGGACUGAUACUGACGCUGAGGUGCGAAAGCGUGGGGAGCAAACAGG
rnacentral:rRNA from 2 species